GAAUGAACGCUGGCGGCGUGCUUAACACAUGCAAGUCGAACGAGAAAGCGAACUUCGGUUCGUGAGUAGAGUGGCGCACGGGUGAGUAAUACGUGGGUAAUCUACCCUUGAGUUUGGGAUAACAUCGCGAAAGUGGUGCUAAUACCGGAUAAUAUCUAGAUGUCUUCGGGUGUUUAGAUCAAAGAUGGCCUCUUCUUGAAAGCUAUCGUUUGAGGAUGAGCCCACGCACCAUUAGCUAGUUGGUAGGGUAAAGGCCUACCAAGGCUACGAUGGUUAGCUGGUCUGAGAGGAUGAUCAGCCACACUGGAACUGACACACGGUCCAGACUCCUACGGGAGGCAGCAGUGAGGAAUUUUGCGCAAUGGGGGAAACCCUGACGCAGCAACGCCGCGUGAGUGAUGAAGGCCCUUGGGUCGUAAAGCUCUGUCAAUGGGAAAGAAAUUACGUGGUAUUAAUAGUACCUUGUAUUGACGGUACCCAUGAAGGAAGCACCGGCUAACUCCGUGCCAGCAGCCGCGGUAAUACGGGGGGUGCAAGCGUUAUUCGGAAUUAUUGGGCGUAAAGGGAGCGCAGGCGGUCCUGCAGGUCAGAUGUGAAAGCCCGGGGCUUAACCCCGGAAGUGCAUUUGAAACCGCAAGACUUGAGUAUGGGAGAGGGUAGUGGAAUUCCUGGUGUAGAGGUGAAAUUCGUAGAUAUCAGGAGGAACACCGGUGGCGAAGGCGACUACCUGGACCAAUACUGACGCUGAGGCUCGAAGGCGUGGGGAGCAAACAGGAUUAGAUACCCUGGUAGUCCACGCAGUAAACGUUGUUCACUAGGUGUAGCGGGUAUUGACCCCUGCUGUGCCGCAGUUAACGCAUUAAGUGAACCGCCUGGGGAGUACGGUCGCAAGACUAAAACUCAAAGAAAUUGACGGGGGCCCGCACAAGCGGUGGAGCAUGUGGUUUAAUUCGACGCAACGCGCAGAACCUUACCUGGGCUUGACAUCCUGAGAAUUUCUACGAAAGUAGAGAGUGCCCUUCGGGGAAUUCAGUGACAGGUGCUGCAUGGCUGUCGUCACCUCGUGUCGUGAGAUUUUGGGUUAAGUCCCGCAACGAGCGCAACCCCUAUCUUUAGUUACCAUCAUUCAGUUGGGGACCUCUGGAGAUACUGCCCCGGUUAACGGGGAGGAAGGUGGGGAUGACGUCAAGUCCUCAUGGCCCUUAUGCCCAGGGCUACACACGUGCUACAAUGGGAUGUACAGAGGGUUGCCAAGCCGCGAGGUGGAUCCAAUCCCAGAAAACAUUCCUCAGUUCGGAUUGUAGUCUGCAACUCCACUACAUGAAGCUGGAAUCGCUAGUAAUCGCGGAUGAGCACGCCGCGGUGAAUACGUUCCCGGGCCUUGUACACACCGCCCGUCACACCAUGAGAGUUGAUUGUACCAGAAGUUGUUGGGCUGACCGUUUCGGGACAGGCACCUAUGGUAUGAUUGAUGAUUGGGGUG
rnacentral:rRNA from 1 species